rnacentral:rRNA from 1 species
UACGUAGGGUGCAAGCGUUGUCCGGAAUUAUUGGGCGUAAAGAGCUCGUAGGCGGUUUGUCGCGUCUGCUGUGAAAACUCGGGGCUUAACCCCGGGCCUGCAGUGGGUACGGGCAGACUAGAGUGCGGUAGGGGAGACUGGAAUUCCUGGUGUAGCGGUGAAAUGCGCAGAUAUCAGGAGGAACACCGGUGGCGAAGGCGGUCUGCUGGGCAGUAGCUGACACUGAGGCGCAACAGCGUGGGGAGCAAACAGG